rnacentral:rRNA from 1 species
AUACGUAGGGGGCGAGCGUUGUCCGGAAUGAUUGGGCGUAAAGGGCGCGUAGGCGGCCCGGUAAGUCUGGAGUGAAAGUCCUGCUUUUAAGGUGGGAAUUGCUUUGGAUACUGUCGGGCUUGAGGGCAGGAGAGGUAAGUGGAAUUCCAAGUGUAGCGGGGAAAUGCGUAGAGAUUGGGAGGAACACCAGUGGCGAAGGCGACUUACUGGACUGUAACUGACGCUGAGGCGCGAAAGUGUGGGGAGCAAACAGGAUUAGAUACCCUGGUAGUCCACACUGUAAACGAUGAAUGCUAGGUGUAGGGGGUAUCGACCCCUUCUGUGCCGCAGUUAACACAAUAAGCAUUCCGCCUGGGGAGUACGGCCGCAAGGUUGAAACUCAAAUGAAUUGACGGGG